rnacentral:misc_RNA from 1 species
GUCAAUUUGAAGGUUAGUUGUGCAGUGAUGUCUGUAAAUCUAAGAUUAUAUUUCUAAAAUUAAUGUCACUUGCACUUAUAUUUCUACCAUGCCUACUCUUACUUUUUUGGGCUAAGGUAUCUGGAUACUGAAUGGUUGGCUAGUCAGAUGUUGCUUUAAUUAUUUUAAUCAUUGGAUUUUCUUUCCUCUUAUAUUUCCCAAUUUGUUUCCAUAUCACUUUAGAAGGAAUUGUUGGGUAUGUCAGUUGCUUAACCUGUGUCCUUUUGAUGUUGGCUAACGCCAUUUAGAGGAACUUAGAUAUCUUGUUUCGCUUCUUAAUUUACAUAGGACUUGAAAGUGCAUUUUCUUGUUCAGAGGUCCCUUUUUUUUUUUCAAUUGAAGAAAACCACUUUGGCUAGGUAGAUUGUUCAUCUGAAUUUUCAUUGCCACUGCUUUUCACUGCUUAUUAGCUAAUAUUUUGUAUCAUGAAUUUAUGUCAUUGGUUUCACAGCAUUUUGAUUCUGAUGUGCUCUUUAUACAGGACUUCACAAACACAUGGAGGG